rnacentral:rRNA from 1 species
CAUCCAGACUCCUACGGGAGGCAGCAGUGGGGAAUAUUGCACAAUGGGCGAAAGCCUGAUGCAGCAACGCCGCGUGAAGGAAGAAGGGUUUCGGCUCGUAAACCUCUAUCAACAGGGACGAAAGAAAUGACGGUACCUGAAUAAGAAGCCCCGGCUAACUACGUGCCAGCAGCCGCGGUAAUACGUAGGGGGCAAGCGUUAUCCGGAUUUACUGGGUGUAAAGGGAGCGUAGACGGCAGUGCAAGUCCGGAGUGAAAGCCCGGGGCCCAACCCCGGGACUGCUCUUGGAACUGCGUGGCUGGAGUGCAGGAGGGGCAGGCGGAAUUCCUGGUGUAGCGGUGAAAUGCGUAGAUAUCAGGAGGAACACCGGUGGCGAAGGCGGCCUGCUGGACUGCAACUGACGUUGAGGCCCGAAAGCGUGGGGAGCAAACAGGAUUAGAUACCCGCGUAC